rnacentral:rRNA from 1 species
GGGUCAGUAGAUUGGUCUUGCCGCAAGGUAAGCACUGCUCCGAUCGGGUCUUUCCUUCUGGGGAACCAGCGUGCUCUUAAUUGGGUGCGCUGGGGAUCCAGGACUUUUACUUUGAAAAAAUUAGAGUGUUUAAAGCAGGCCUACGCUUGAAUACAUUAGCAUGGAAUAAUAGAAUAGGAC